ensembl:snRNA U4 U4 spliceosomal RNA
AGCUUUGUGCAGUGGCAGUAUCAUAGCCAGGGAGGUUUAUCUGAGGUGCAAUUAUUGCUAAUUGAAAACUUUUCAACUCACCAAUUAA